AGAGUUUGAUCCUGGCUCAGGAUGAACGCUAGCGACAGGCUUAACACAUGCAAGUCGAGGGGCAGCACAGGUAGCAAUACCGGGUGGCGACCGGCGCACGGGUGAGUAACGCGUAUGCAACUUGCCUAUCAGAGGGGGAUAACCCGGCGAAAGUCGGACUAAUACCGCAUGAAGCAGGGGCCCCGCAUGGGGAUAUUUGCUAAAGAUUCAUCGCUGAUAGAUAGGCAUGCGUUCCAUUAGGCAGUUGGCGGGGUAACGGCCCACCAAACCGACGAUGGAUAGGGGUUCUGAGAGGAAGGUCCCCCACAUUGGUACUGAGACACGGACCAAACUCCUACGGGAGGCAGCAGUGAGGAAUAUUGGUCAAUGGCCGAGAGGCUGAACCAGCCAAGUCGCGUGAGGGAUGAAGGUUCUAUGGAUCGUAAACCUCUUUUAUAAGGGAAUAAAGUGCGGGACGUGUCCCGUUUUGUAUGUACCUUAUGAAUAAGGAUCGGCUAACUCCGUGCCAGCAGCCGCGGUAAUACGGAGGAUCCGAGCGUUAUCCGGAUUUAUUGGGUUUAAAGGGAGCGUAGGUGGAUUGGUAAGUCAGUUGUGAAAGUUUGCGGCUCAACCGUAAAAUUGCAGUUGAUACUGUCAGUCUUGAGUGCAGUAGAGGUGGGCGGAAUUCGUGGUGUAGCGGUGAAAUGCUUAGAUAUCACGAAGAACUCCGAUUGCGAAGGCAGCUCACUGGACUGCAACUGACACUGAUGCUCGAAAGUGUGGGUAUCAAACAGGAUUAGAUACCCUGGUAGUCCACACAGUAAACGAUGAAUACUCGCUGUUUGCGAUAUACAGUAAGCGGCCAAGCGAAAGCAUUAAGUAUUCCACCUGGGGAGUACGCCGGCAACGGUGAAACUCAAAGGAAUUGACGGGGGCCCG
rnacentral:rRNA from 1 species